rnacentral:rRNA from 1 species
ACAAGCGGUGGAGCAUGUGGUUAAUUCGACGCAACGCGAAGAACCUUACCAGGGCUUGACAUCCCCUGACCGCGUAUGAAAGUACGUUUUCACCCUCGGGUGACAGGGAGACAGGUGGUGCAUGGUUGUCGUCAGCUCGUGUCGUGAGAUGUUGGGUUAAGUCCCGCAACGAGCGCAACCCCUACGUUAGUUGCUAACGCGUGAAGGCGAGCACUCUAGACGAACUGCCGUUGACAAAACGGAGGAAGGUGGGAUGACGUCAAAUCAUCAUGCCCCUUAUGUUCUGGGCUACACACGUGCUACAAUGGCCGGUACAGACGGACGCAAAGCCGCGAGGUGGAGCAAAUCCUAAAAAGCCGGUCUCAGUUCGGAUUGCAGGCUGCAAUUCGCCUGCAUGAAGUCGGAAUCGCUAGUAAUCGCAGGUCAGCAUACUGCGGUGAAUACGUUCCCGGGCCUU